AAACUGUGAUGGGGACAUAGUUUGAGCAUCCCUUUAAACUUAUCCCAUGCUUCAUACAAAGAUUCACUCUUAUUUUGUCGGAAGCUAGCAAUCAAAUUCCUUAUAU